AAGAAAUUACGAUUGCCCUUUAAUUUUCCGGGUCAGCUCGAAUUUUGUAAGAGUUUUCCUGAGUUUCUGGUAAAUAAAGUUAUAGUUUAUUUCAGAAAAUUUAACUUACGAGUUCCGUUACUUGUGCGUCGCUUUGUUCGAGGCUCCGGGAACCUCGGAUCUGUUUCUUUGUUCCGCGGCCGCUCGGCCCUAUUCGGUUCUUGUCGUUCCGCGGAAGAAUGGACGAGGCAGCCUCGGCCACGAAGGCACUCGGGCUGGAUGAACCGCCCAUCGGUGGGUCGGUGGAGGGAGUGGGCUCGGAUACGGAGUCGGAGGCCGAAGUCGCUCCGAUGUCUGUGAUAGCGGAACCGCGAAACAUUGACAUGAGAGCCGAGCACCUCCCGAACUCAGACGAGGCCGAAGCGGCAUUCGCAGAGGUGGCUGCAGUGACCGUGGCGGAUGUUCAGGCUGCAGAAGACAAUGUUUUCACCACCACAGUAGCAACGUCAGCAAGCCUUCCUGAGCACGUUCUGAGUGGCAGGACCACUCUGCAGCUGGGCGAAGGGCUCAGUACCCAGAAGGCCACCCUGAUUGUUGUUCACACUGAUGGCAGCAUCGUGGAAGCAACGGGCCUCAAGUCUGCUGCCACCAUCACAUCCGGCCCUCAGACUCCACCCACUCCUCUGACUCCGCUGCAGGACAAAGACUCUUGCUCCAAAUACAACUGGGACCCAUCGGUGUACAACAACGAGCUGCCGGUCCGCUGCAGGAAUACGAGUGGAGUCCUGUACAAGAACCGGCUGGGAUCAGGGGGCAAAGGUCGUUGUAUCAAACACAACCAGCAGUGGUUUGCUCCGACUGAGUUUGAAGCGUUGGCGGGAAGAGCGAGCAGCAAAGACUGGAAGAGGAGCAUCAGAUACGCUGGCCGACCUCUGCUAUGCCUCAUACAGGAGCAUAUUCUGAACCCUCAUGCUGCUUCCUGUACCUGUGCCGCCUGCUGUGAUGACCUGACACAUUCACCAAAGGAUGGGGACUCUGUUACACCAGAAAAUAUCACCAUGACCGGCCCUGUCCGUCUCUUUGUUCCUUACAAAAGACGGAAGAAGGACAACGAGCUCCCAGUUGUUCCAGUAAAGAAGGAUCUCAGCCCCCUGAAGAAUAUCCAGCUGACUCCAGGAACCACGUUCACGGUGUCCCCGUCGGGGCAGUUUGCUACCUCCAACACAUUGACCUUUGACCGUACGCCAACAAGCGACGCCGCCUCGGCCGCCAUCAUCUCAGAUGGGUCAGCACAGAGCGACGUGUUUGCCAGCACCACAGUGCUAACAGCACUGCCAGCUCUGGCUGUUGCUCCUCAGCCCAUCCAAGCCAAAGUAGCAGUGGGCUCCACGGCAUCAUCACCGUCGGCAACGCUGGUGGCGGGGCUGGAAGUGGCGCCUGUAGGGGACGCAUGUUCGGCUGUGAAUGAAGGAGAGAAGAACACCUGGGUAUACCUGGAGGAACUGGCGAACACGCUGAUGAGCAACGUGCAGCAGCUGAAGGCCCUGAUAGAACAGGCCAAAAACGGUGCUGGGGAGCCAGCAGGGGUCAAAGGUCAGGGGAGCAGGAAGGAGUGUGGUCAGCCAUUCCAGAACCAGAUCUCGUUUCAACAGCCAGAUGACUCUGAGGCCAAAAGGAGCUCUGACAUCACAGAGAUCAUCAUCAACGAGAUGUGUGUGAACUGUGGCCGGAUGGCGAUGAGCGAGUGUACUGGAUGUCACAAAGUCAAUUACUGCUCCACAUUCUGCCAGAGGAAGGACUGGAAGGAUCACCAGCAUUUAUGCUGUCAGUCAUCAGGGGGCGUCGCUGUUCCGGAGGAGGAGCCAAUCACAGCCAUCGACAUGGACAAAGUGAAAUGAAGGAAUCUCAUCGAGGCUUAUGCCGUGAUUACUGGCCCUGGAAAGAACAAAGAAACAGAUAUACUUCAAGUUAUGGUUCGUAUGUGGUGUUCUUACCCUCCAGCAAGAUCAGGGGGAAGAGGAAGAGGUUUGUUGAAACCCUCUCGACCCAUCAGCCAGUAUGUGUCCUCUGUCCCCUUUACCUUAAAAAACACAGGAGCGUACAAGGAAAUCACUGCAUUGCUGGGCAAACAGCAGACUCCUUCAAAAGAAUUCAUUAAAUCCAACUUUUGUCAAAGCAAAUAUAUAAGCAGGCCGGUAUACCUGUGCCUUUCUGGUGUCGAUGAGAUAUCCCACUUUCAGACUGGUCAGAACCUUGACAGUACUAAGGCUGAUGUGGAUCCUGUAAGCUGAAAAAAACCCCACAAGUAUUAAGCAAGUUGUGUUAAGCGUUGUUUCAGAUAAAAUUAAGUGAUAGAGCUUGGUAUGCUGGAUUUUGCCACAAAUGGCAGGCUUAGUAUUCAGAAACUGCCUCUGGCAGCAAAACAGGACAGGCAAUCCAACAGAAACAUUGUGACCUCGACAAUUAUAGCCAAGACUAAACUGUUCCAUAACAAUGAGAAGGAUAACAAGUGGUGGAGGUUUUCACAGAGUGGUGUAGCAACAAAAAUCUGCUUCUGAAUAUGGACCAGUCUAAGCAACUGGUGAUCGCCUUCAUUAGGAAACAAUCACUUUCAACACACUCUACGUCAGCAAGUAGAGGGGCGUCCAGCACAGGAUAUUCCUGGUAAUUCAUGUGAUGAAGAGAUCCUUCAUCACAUGAAUUACCAGGAAUAUCCUGGUCUACAAAAAAUCUACAAAAAUGGAACUAGGUAAAUAUUACACAACAACCUUUUUUCCUCUUUUUUUUUUAUUCCAGCUUUCAGUCAAACCUCUACACAAAACCAAAAUUCUUGGUUUUAAUUGCUAGCAGGAGUUUUUGUUUAAGGAUCUGUUUAGAAGAAUAUAGUGGCACGUAGAGACGUGAGAUGCAGGUGUUGGCUGUGGGGAGGUGCUGGUCGUCUGGAGGCCGGAUGGUAAUGGAGGGCAUUGGCUGGAAGCCUUCCUCGCUGGCUGGCAGAGAGGGGCUGGACGUCCAGAUAUUACCAGGAUAUUCCUGGUAAUUCAUGUGAUGAAGAGAUCCUUCAUCACAUGAAUUCAUCACAGGAUCUCUUCAUGUGAUGAAGAGAUCCUUCAUCACAUGAAUUACCAGGAAUAUCCUGUGCUGGACAAGAUACAAGAGGAGACUGAGAAGGUUCCAUCUGAAGCUGCGUUUUCAUUACAAUGUGAGCAAAUCUUUGUCCAUGUUCUGCUAAUGUCGAAAAAACACAAUUUUGCAAUGGUGGCAUUUCCAUUAAACAAGAAAUUAAAUUAAAAUCACAUAUGAAUGAGCCAGUUCAUGCAAUAAAUCAUUAAGAAACAGCAGCGAUGGAUGGAAACAGUUAUAUUCAUAAUUCAAAAGAGCUAUGGAUUUAGCACUUUGGAAUGACACACAACCUUUUCUGAACUGUGUGAAGCAGUGAGAGCUCUGGUGGAGCCAGCUGCUUGAAAAAACAAAAACAAACCAUCGUCCUCCUAACACUUCCUGUCAUCUUCUUCAUCGUUUCUGUCAGUAGUAACGACUAGCUGUUGAUCAUGUAACUUGUGUGAUGUGAAAAAGUGUUUCCAUUGCAGUUCUGCAAAAUACAUCUAUUCUGAUACAGCCAAAAAACACCUUAAUCUAGUGCAAAAUCAUCUUAGCACAAAAUGGGAGUUUUUUUGUUUUGUUUUUUUAAAUUGGUGUUUCCAUUAAGCAGAUUUAUUUUCGUAAUUUCAAUUUGCUCAGUUUUACGGCUAAUGGAAACGCAGCUUGAGAGCAGACUGAAAUGCAGAUCAAAGAGGUUUUCUGGAAUUUUCUUUCCAACCACCACAAUAUAGAAAUAGAUUUAUUAAUUAAACUGCACUGACAUUACUUUAAAUAUUUUUUUUGUGAGCUGAGCGACUGAAUUUUAGGUCUGCAUUGUGAUUUUGAGGUAGUGCUAAAUCUCAAAUCUGAAUUAGGACAAUCUGUAGAAAUUUUGGUUAGAAAUUAAUAUUUCUGUCUGUCAAGGAAUGCAUGUAGGAGAGACUGUAGGAUCCACAACGUCAUUAAUGAGUGAGUGGAGAACUGAUCAAAUAUAAUGUUUCAUUUUGCUGUAAUGUAAAAACUAUAUAAAAAAAUAUAGUCUAGUGAGAAUAGAUCAAUAAGAUACAGUUAAUAAUUGAUGCGUGUGCAGGAAUUCAUUCAGUUUGUCAUAUUGAAGAAAUCUGUAAAUCAACCAAAACAAAAUCUGUAUCUUUAUUUCCUUGUUUGGGAAAUAUUAACAACAAAGUUUUAUUGUAUUCUAAAUGAUCAGGAAAGGAAAGAUAAUAUAAUUAUAAAAUCUUUUCAAUUGUU